rnacentral:rRNA from 1 species
CGAAGGAGGCUAGCGUUGCUCGGAAUUACUGGGCGUAAAGGGCGCGUAGGCGGCUUCAUUAGUCAGGCGUGAAAAUCCUGGGCUUAACCUGGGGACUGCGCUUGAUACGGUGAGGCUUGAGGAUGGAAGAGGCUCGUGGAAUUCCCAGUGUAGAGGUGAAAUUCGUAGAUAUUGGGAAGAACACCGGUGGCGAAGGCGGCGAGCUGGUCCAUUACUGACGCUGAGGCGCGACAGCGUGGGGGAGCAAACAGGAUU